rnacentral:rRNA from 1 species
UACGUAGGGGUGCAAGCGUUUAAUCGGAAUUACUGGGCGUAAAGCGUGCGCAGGCGGUUUUGUAAGUCUGUCGUGAAAGCCCCCGGGCUCAACCUGGGGAAUUGCGAUGGAGACUGCAAGGCUUGAAUCUGGCAGAGGGGGGUAGAAUUCCACGUGUAGCAGUGAAAUGCGUAGAGAUGUGGAGGAACACCGAUGGCGAAGGCAGCCCCCUGGGUCAAGAUUGACGCUCAUGCACGAAAGCGUGGGGAGCAAACAGG